GCUUGUAUAGUUUAAUGGUAAAACUACUGUCUCAUAUACAGUCAUUGUCCGGGUUCAAAUCCCACUAUAAGUA
rnacentral:tRNA from 1 species